CACUGUAAUGUAAGCUGCUGCCAUCUAUGAGCAGACAGUAGAAAGUUUCCAUGAAGUAUUGAUCGAAGCAUGGCCACAGAACAGAUAUGUAUAGUGGCAUGGCUGGCAUAGCGUCGGCCUCCAAUUGAGUCCAUCAGUCCAAUAAAAAGAUUGAUCCUGGAAAACAGGAGAUUUCUGCAGCAGAGAUUCUGGAUUGCAUCGAAAAUGGUAAUCUAUAUAUCUGAGCUGAAGGAUUUCCUCAGUGUUGAUGAGGAAGAGCAAGAGGAUACCAUCCUUCCUCAGACUGCCAAUCGAUUUCAAGGAGUGGGAGCUGAAACAACAGGCCAGGAAGAAGACAACCACAUGAAUGAGAACAAGGACAUUGGGCUUGCAAUUCAUCUAUGAAUCCAGUUUUAUAUGCAUUCUCCAGCCGGAAACAAUGAAUUUGAUGAUUCCAUCUAUUUAUAUGUAUUUAUGUAUUAUAUAUGAGAUUCAGGGAUAAUAAUCUUCUAAUUUCAUCUUAUUGAGCUUCACUAGCCUGAAUCCAUAUUUUAGAAUAAAUUCCUCUGAAGAAGAAAUUGUACUUAGUAAAUCAAUCAGACUGGUAGAGCCCUGUAAUAUUGUAUAGAGUGUGGCAUCAAAACUUAAUAAAAACUUGACUAUAAAAUCACUUUUAUAAUUA